UACAGAGGGGGCAAGCGUUGUUCGGAAUUACUGGGCGUAAAGGGUGCGUAGGCGGCCUUCUAAGUCGAACGUGAAAUCCCCGGGCUCAACCCGGGAACUGCGUCCGAUACUGGAAGGCUUGAAUCCGGGAGAGGGAUGUGGAAUUCCAGGUGUAGCGGUGAAAUGCGUAGAUAUCUGGAGGAACACCGGUGGCGAAGGCGACAUCCUGGACCGGUAUUGACGCUGAGGCGCGAAAGCCAGGGGAGCAAACGGG
rnacentral:rRNA from 1 species